CUCAUCAUGGCCUGCAUAUUAAAAUCACCUGCAGACCAAGGAAUCAGAAUUUCCUGUGAUGUGACCUGGGCACUGGGAUUUUUAAAAAGCUCCUCCAGAGAUUUGUCAGUUGGAGAUCACAGCACCAAAUUAUUCACAUUACAUGUUAGAACAUUCUAGCUCCCCAAAAGAGGAAAUGACUUCUCCCAAAGUACCCAUAAGAGAGUGGUAGAGAGGAAGAAGAAUAUGCACCUGUCUUUGAGGAGGAACCAAGUUGGAAUCCCAGCUUUGCCAUUUUCUGGCUCACAAGUGGAAGCACAGAAAGGUUAAGCAACUUGCGAAAGGUCACACAGCAGCUAAAAAGGCCAUAAGUUGGACUUCAAAGCCGGUGCUUUAAUGAUGACAACACCCUUCUGCCUCUCUGGAAGCACCUCAGAGAGGAGAGAGGGGAAGAUGAAAACUCCAUGCCUCCCAGAUGGUCCCUGCAGUUUGGAGGAGACUCUAUGAAAAUAGGCCCUCCAACCGGGAGCUCUGUAGAAAGGACUUCAGACCAGCACAUC